ensembl:lncRNA
UGGAAUAUAUGCAGGAGAUAAGAAUAGUAUAAAUGCAGAGCCAAUCCUUUGUUCAAAUUGCGACCCUGGUGGAGUGUAAACUCCCCUCGGCCGCCCGCCCAGCGCUGUUUUGCUCACUUAACCGCCAUGCUUAAUUGAAUAAAGCUGUCCCUUUAUCGCACUAGACUUUGUCUGGUUUUGUCACAAGAAUCUACAACAAGGGAAGGCAGGCGAUAGAAAAGAUAGAAAGAGGCAAGAAUUGCGUAAAGCGGGGAUAGUCACCACCAGGAUCCAGCAACGGUCCCGUUGCACGACGUUCCGACGGUCCAUGGCAAAAGAGCAGGGGAAGUGCAGCAGUAGCGUGGCCAGUCUUGGGCAGCAAGAAUGUGCAGUUAUCAGAUCUGGUUGAAGACUCCUGUUAACAGCUUUCUUUCCCAUUCAUGGCACCACUGCCGUCAGGAUCCAAAGCCACAUUGGCAUAUCUCCUUCUCAAGUGAAAGAUGAAGAAUGUAUUGACAGUUCCUGGAGUGACUUUAAAAAAAGUGCUGUGAAACUAUGCAGUGAACCCUAAUGGAGAAAGUGAGUGAGAAAAAAGAUAUUUUUACCAAGAAUCCAGCUACAUUUUUCUUCUUAAAGGUCAAUCAAUGACAGCAUGAACUUUUUCAAUACUGAGAAGCAGCAAUAAAUUGCUUUCAUCAUACAUGGUGGAUCAGGUACACUGUUGGAUGAGUUUUAAUUUCAAAAAUAAUAAUAAGUGACCUUCUUUAUAAAACCACUAUUGUUUAUUUUGACAGAAAUAUAGAUUAUAUGACAAUUUUCUUAAAUUUCCACAAUACUGAUAUUUCUUGUCAAACUGUCAAUCAAAAAGUAGUUAUAUUAAAAUUCUUUCUUCUUCCCAAGUCUUCAGAUACAAAAGUUCAAAAGUUGUCCACAGUGAGGGUGAGAUCUAUAAUGUCUAAGCUGUUCCAUGUAUUAUAAAUCAAUUUUUAAUCAAGAUAGGUAAACAUUUGAAGAGAAGAUCCAAACCAACUUAUGUUAUUUGCACACUUAGCCAAAUCCUAAAGUGAUUACAAACCUAUAGGUGUUUGACUGAGGAAAGGUCUAGUGAAAACUGACCAAGAAGUUAAUAAUAUUAUUCAUAUUGACUUUUUAUCAUUGUUCUGGAAUAUCUUGAAGUACAACAGCUGAAAUUUCUUCACAAAUCAGCGGAUGUAGUGGCAGAGGUUAAGAUAAGUUUUGUCUUGAUGUUAAGUAUAAUGAAAAUCUAGAGGAGAAGGAAAGAGAGACAAAGACUAUACAAAUACAUUUCAGCUAUUGAGACCACUGUAAAUCUAAUGUUACCUUACAGACUCUGGGAACAUCCAAAUUCACAGCAAUCACUGUCCUAGGAGGUAGUGUCUUCAAAACAGACAAUUUACUCAGGCAAAUUAAUUAUUUUUAAUUAUAGACAUUAAUUACACUUCCAUUUUACUUAGAUCUCUCCUUAAAAUAAAAUUUAAAAUACUUAAUUCUAUUAAUUUCAUCAUCCUUGUUGUUAAAGUAACAACAACAGUGGUAACAUACAGUUAUCAUAUAUGCCCAUCUAGACGUUUUGAUACUUAUGCUAGUUCAGCCUUGCUUCUGGAACUCAUUAGUUUCUAAAAAGACAACGAUGAUAUUCCAACCUACAACACUAGAAUAUGGUAAAAGAGAUUUAAAGGUGGCACAGUGAAUUUCAAAAAACAGUAUUGUCUGAGAAACUUGAAAAUUAAAUUUUACUGACUAACAACAGAAGAACCUUUACUAAAGUAGCCAAAUAAUAGUAGAACAAGCCACUUUCUCAGGACAAUAUUCUAACUAAUUAUCCUGCCAUUUACAGUUAGAAGAAUUAAUAUGGCAACUUCAUGGUUUGUGCUCUAUGUCUGUUCUACAUAAUGGCAGCCAGUAAAUUGCCUUGUCAAUUACAAUUAAGAUGUUAACGCAAUGAUUUAAGGUCACAAAUGAUUUAGCAGAGUGGACUAAGGUAGACAUAUGUGGUUACAAGGUUACUUAAAUAAUGUCUAGACAAAGGUUAUUUAAAUUUUUAGCUGUUGGUUAAUUCAGUUUGUGAGCAACAAGUUGUCUUGAUUAAGUAAGCUCUAGAAUAUAUAAGUGAAAAGAGAUAAAGAAAGCAUGUCACAUUGCUCCCCUCUUCCUACUCCAGCAAUAGAAACAGUUUGAAGUCCCAGCAGAGGCAGCCAUACCAGUACGUUAGCAUAUGUAUCUUCUAUUAUGACAUUGUGUGAAAGAAAGUGGGAGCAGAAGCAUUCCUGUUACCUAUUUAUGUAAAAUUCCUGUUUAAAUUUCACAGAGCUUUCUUCCCUCACAGAGCUUUCUUUUCUUCCUCUACCCUAUUCACUUAAACACAGCAGCAGUAGCUGCUUGCCUCUUGAUAAUGAAAGUUUAGUUUAUUGUUAGUUUUGAAGCUUUGCGUAUACGACUUUGUUUUGUUUUGUUUUGUUUAUUUAAGGAGAAAUAAUAAGAAUAGAAAUAACGCUUAUUUUUAAAUAAUAAUGUAUUUUGUAUAUAAAAAUACAUAUAAAAAAUACAUACCCCAAACUGUGCCUGAAAACCUAUAUUUCAUUUAACAGAAGGUGGAUGAUAAUAAUAACCUACUAAUAGGUCUUCUAAUGAGUCUAUUUCUGUACUCGUUUUGAGUAUAACUGGGGAAAAAAAGAAGCCAACACCUUGACAAUUUGACUAUAUAAACUAUAUAAAUUAAGACAUUUUUUCCUGGCAAUUUUUUUCUGGAAAUAUUCAAGGACCUUGAGGAUAUCUUCAUUUCAGGAUGUUAGCUGAGGUGAAUUACAGAGUUCAGCUGACUGAAGACAGCUCCUUCACUGACAAGAGCUGUUACAAAGGGAUAUUGAAGCAAAGGCUGGCUCCUCCUUUCCCUGAGAGUAGCAUUUAAAAUGCUGUUCUGCAGCUAUGUAGUCUCUGCCUAUUUUCCUGUAUCCCUGAUCUUGACCUCACUGGUCAAACUGGAAGUUUGACUUCCUGGCUUGCCCUUGGACCUGCAACAUCACUGUGAACUUGAUGAGUUACCACUGGUCUCUGUUGGCCCCAAUUUCUGUUUCUGGACGUGGUCUUUAUUCUCUGCAUCCCACCUCCUUGUUAUUGCAGCCACUGCUAUUUCCUGCUCUGCUACUGUGCUCAGCUCCCAGUUUGCCUUCUUUGAAGCUGCUUACCUGGACAGUUUUAUCUUCUACUUUCAGUCUUUUGAACAGAUGUGUUCAUUUGUUACUCAACUUUAUGCCAAGAGUAUUGUGAGACUUUGAAAAUCUGUGUUUUGUACACUCUGAUAGGAGGUUCAUAAUGUGAAUCUUUUUUAAUUUCUUAAUGAGGAGGUAAGUGAUUUUCCCUCUGUGCAUGCUGAUGACAGUAUCAUGCUGCACGUGGUUAUGUUCUCUUCUCUGUAACCUCUCCAGAUAUUUCUGCCCCUGCAGGCUCCCGUCCCUCACAUUUCUCUGCUCAUACAGUUCCAAUUUCUGAUUUAUAGGUUCUUUGUUUUGUUUUGUUUUUUCUUGUGAGGGUCUGUAGGGAAUUAAUUUUGCAGUUUAAGCUUCUGAAAAAGAACAUAAUUAGUUCUUCCGUUUACAUCAGAUGAAGUAGUUGUUUCAACCACAAAAUGUAGCAAGGUAACACAUUCUCUAGUAAUACCUCAUUAAAAAUAAAGUGAACUUCUCCCUGUAAAUUAAUUUACCGUGCUGGUUGUAUGUAGAUUUAGGAGCUUAAUUUAUCUUAACACAGAGAUAAAAAUUUGGUGGUCUUCAGACUUUUGGAACUGGAAUGAGGCUAAAUUUUUCAAUUCUUUCCUGCAGUUCUGCAAAGUUCAUUAUUUAGCUCCUUUGCCUCAGAUUUCAGCUGAUAAAGAAUGAGAUGUUGUGACUUUUUGCAAAAGUCAAACAACUCAGGUGUCACAGGGAUUAACUAUUAGAUCCAAGAAUGAAACAUUCAAGAAUUCCCUAAACCAGAACACACAAGCAAAUGCCAAUCUCCAUUUAUAAUCCAGAAGUGAGAGUGCUUAUGCAGAGAAAAGGACUGUAUACUAUGAACUAAUUGCCAUAUGAGUGAAACAACUCAAGCACAAUUCAUACAUAGGUCUUAUGGCUUUUCUUCAGAUUUUGAAAAGUUUUAAAGAUUUUGCUUGAUUAAUUGCAACUGGAGAGAUCAAUUUCCUUUCCGUCCUGUCAGAUUCUUAACACACAUAAAAUGUCAUUUUUGUUGGUUUGUUUGUUUGCUUUGAAGAGGUACAUAAAUCAAUUGAUGAUAAAGCAUAAUUCAACUUCAGACCAUUUAGGCUACCUUACUUCCAGAAAUUUAAAGAGAAAUCUUUUGUAUAAAAUAAAUCAAAACCAAGUUUUUCCAUUUUACUAUACCAUGAGUGCUAUUUAACAAUUUAUUCACUUUCACAAUGAGACAUUAAGAAAGCACUUUUUUGUUGGAAAUUUAAUUUGGAAGGUAUUGUCAGAGAGAAGAGAUGAUGCUAUAUGCUUUUGAAAUUUUCUGGAGAAAGAAAUACAAUCUUUUUAAAAAAUCCUAUUUUUUUACCUAGUAUUUAUGUAGAUUAAUUUAGUCUAUCUAUUAAUUCUCAUAAUCUGCCCAGAUAAUUAAUAAUAAAUUUAUGGUAAUACAAAAGAGAAGAGAAACAAAAAGUUUCACUCUACUUUGAUAGAUGAAGUUUAGGUUUAAGUGAAGAAAUAACCAGCAUUAUUCAAAUAAGAGAAUGAAGAUGACAAGUUUUGUUUGAUCACUGGACUGUCUUACUUGUCUUAUAAGUAUAUUGCUCCAGAAUUAGUGACUCCUAUUUAUUUCUGUGGAAACUGCAGCAAGUACAAAGAAUACAAUAACACUAUUUCAUAGGGAAAAUUCUACACUACAAAACACUGUUUUUUAACACAGUCACAAGCAUUAGCUGUGUGUUUUUGCUAGCAAUGAAUGAGAGCCUGCAUGUAGUGCUCAUGAAAAUCUGCACCAUUGGAAGUGGCCACUUUUGCUACCACCACUGCUGAAAUGCACCACCCACCCCUUCACUGUGCUCAUGUCUGCUGUUUGGUCUCCAUAAGCAUUCAGCAAGUUUUGAUGAAUGUCAGUGAGUGCCAUUUUUUUCCACAUGGAAGAAAUUCAGUUUCACACAUUUGCUUCAUACGCAUUUCCAUGUCAGACUCCAUUUUGUCAGACUGCCCCUCUGCUGCCAUCUGUUGUAUGGAAACAAAGUGUAAUGGGGUAUUGACAGGAAGGUUCUAUCUUCUACUGCCAUAAAAUCAACAUUCACUUCUGACAUCAUGACUGUCAUGAUUUUAUGACUUUUGGUUAUCAGUAUUCCACAUCACAACAUCAUGCAGUGUACUGGGAGCUAAGGAGCAAAUGCUUUAGUUCUGGGUACCUGUCUGGAAGAGAACUACGUUCCCCAAGAGCCUUUUCGAGUAUUGUUAUCAUUCCUGGUCAAGGGAACAGAUAUAAGGGCGCAGGUCAUCUGACUUGUCCCUCUUCUCGUCUCGCCGUGUUCCCUGUCGGAUCGGCUCGCUACUGCUGCGCCCAACUGCACGCAAGGCUUCAGUAUUAGCGUAAGGCCUUUGGCUCUCGGACAAUCUUUCUCUCAAUUAUUGCUGAUUUAUAUUGUAUUAUAGUGUGUUAUCUUACAUUCCGAUACUAUAUUUAGUAAAUUAGUUUGUUUCUCCUCAGAUCGUUGCCGCUGUUUUUAAUUAUUUUGGGGUCCCCUGUUUCCCUUCCUGGAGGCGCGGAUUUUGCGAAAUCCCUCCGCCCCACUAGUCGCAGAACCGGGCCGGACCAGCGCUUAAACCGUUGACAAUGACGCAGCAUAUAGGAGGCAUUACUUUUGGACCAGGUCUUGCAUCUUUAUAAUUUAUAUUUUUUCACUGAUCUGUAAAUCAAUUUUUUUUCAGAAGAAUUAAAAAGAAACAGAUCUUCGUGUUCUACUCAGUUAUUAAUUUUGCCAUUAAUUACAAUAUGUUUUCGCUGUUUCAUUUUUUUUCUCUAAACAAAUUAUCAAGAGACAAAGACAUGAGAGAUUUUGUGUAAUUCACUAUCCACAUCCUGCAAUCUGUACAUUUUCCUACAUUACUCUUGUUCUAUUUUAAUUAUAAGAAUGUUGUUUCUGGUUGAUAGAAUGUAUAUUCUUUAAUCAUGAUAUAACAUUAAAUAUGAUUUCCUUGCAUUAUGCGACAGUAAUAGUAGAAUGUAAAAUAUAACGAGACAGUGAAUCUUGUAGAACUAUUUAAUGAAAUGAAUUAAAUUACUAUGCAGAAUGAAUAAAAACAAUAUAGUUAAAAUUACACCAUUUGUUUAAUUCUUAGAAAUAAUAAUACAGGUUUUUUUUUUUUACAAACAAUAUAGGGUGUAAUAUAAUUCCCGGUAAUUACACUUGAUAUCAGUCUCUUUGUAUGUAUGAAAAUAUCAAUCUAUCUUUAUGAUUUAGUAGCCUUGUUUUAUAACAUGGAACAAUUCAAGAAAUAAAUUAGCAUUAUAAAUAUUUAAUUAAAUAAUGCAAUAGAGAACAUUUUAAAAGCUAUAUAACUGUAUUCUGCUUUGAAAGUUUAAGAGUCUUUAAAUAAUUUUACACAUUUAGAUUUUAACUCUAAUAACUUGCACAUGCGCAACCUUACAUGUUGUGCACUUCAGUCAUAGGCUUCAGGGAUCAAUUAAGGAAUGUAAGAGGUUUGAAGUUAUAAGUCCAUACUGUUCACAACUGACAAUAGUUAAUUUAUUUUAUGAAGAAAUUUCUUCUGAAGAAAUGCAUUGAGAUGACUGUAGUAUCACUAGUGCCUAGUUGUUGCCUUAAGCUGUAUAUAGUCCAAGACUAUGCUAUUUUGAUGGCAUAUAUUACAUAUUUCAAUAGAAUUGUUGCUUUCAGUACCCUUUAACUCAUACAAGCAUUUACCAGCUUUUUCAGGAAAUUCAUUGUCUGACUCAGUUGCAUUAUCUUCCUCAUCUUUUCUUGGUUUCAAGUCAAAAUAGCAAAUUUAAUAGAAAGGGUAAGAUAUGCCAGUUGUUCAAAUGAAAUACUAUUCUACUUAUUCAUUAUAUAGUCUAUACAACAUUCUCUCAAUUCUUUCUUUGAGUUUAGCAUAAGUAGGAAUUAUGCUAUUGUAAAAUAAAUAAAUGACUCUAAAGUGUAUUUUUAAUGAGAGAUUAAUAAAAAUGGAUAUUUCAUUGUAAAAAUGUACUGUUUAACUGACACUGUAUUCUUCUUUUUGUUUAAUUUUUCUAAAUGAAGAAAAAGGUUUCUUUUGUUGUUAUCAUUAUUAUUUUCAACAGAGAAUAAUAGUAGUUGUAAUUAAGCUAUUAUUAUUAAAAAUAAGAGAAGUACUGAAUCAUAGCAAGUUAAUGGCUAAUAUUGCAUGUACAUCACUUGUGGAUUUACUGUGUUCACUUUACAGUAUGCACACAGACUAACUCUACAUCAUGUGUCUAGUAGGUUAUUCUCUUUCUGAAUGCUAAAUUCCCUUCUAGGGUACAUCAACAUGCUCAUUCUCCUUGAAUUAUUUUUGGAAGAGCUGCCGUUAACUGCUAGAAAAAGACUUUAAGGUCUAGACAGUUAUUUGAUUUACCUAGCAUGUUUCCAAACAAGUCAUCAUUUAGCUUUAAUUUCAGUGACAAAUUAGCAUGAUGAAACUUAAAAUUGGUGUGUUGGUGUCAUGGUUUUAUGAUCUUUGGUUAUCAGUAUUCCACCUCAUAACAUCAUGUGCACUGAGAGUUAAGAGGUUAAUGCUCCAGUUCUGGGCACCUGUCCAGAAGAGAAGAACUACAUACUCCAGGGAGCUUUGCGUUCAGAGAGGAGAUAUAACCACUGGCAAAGUCACCCGAUGUCACUUUUACCUUCGGCUCUCCUCCCUGCUGCCCAACCUGACCACGCAUCUCACCUCAGUGGUAUGGUGAGGCUUUCAGUUCUCAGGCACUCUCUCUGUCACAAUAUUUGAUUUAUUAGCUUCAGUUCUAAUUAUAUUGUAUUAUAGUAUGUUAUCUUGCAUUCCGAUACUAUGUUUAGUAAAUUAGUUUGUUUCUCCUCUGGUUGUUUCUGCUGUUUUUAAUUAUUCUGGGGUCCCCUGUUUCCCGUUUCCAGAGGCACAGAUCUGCAGAUCCCUUUGUUCUGCUAGUCACGGUACCGGGCCGAACCAGCCCAUGAACCUGCUGACAGUUGGGAGUUAAAGAUGUUAGUAUUAUAAAAAGUUAAGACUCUAGUGUGUAUGUUAAAUAAUAUGUACAAUAUAUAGUGAUGGUAUUUUACAUGUGUCGAAUAAAGAGUAGGAGGGGUGAAUGAAGAAUGUCUUGAUUUUGUACAUAGUUUCUUAGGUUCAAGUUAGACAUAGUUCUCUAAGAACAGAAGUGCAUGGUUUUUGUGUUUGCUUGUUCUUUUCAUGGAAGGUAUCGUAAGAUUUCAAUACAAAAAUAUGUAGGAAGAAGUUGUUCAUUUUUAUUUCAUAUAUAAACAAAGGCACAAGGACUUUCAUGCUCUCUAUGAGCAUGAAAAGAAAGCAAAACUUUCUUUUUCACAGUUGUUAUUCUUUAGCAGUAGAAUAAAACACAACAGAUAAAUAUUGUUUUAGACAAAAUGUUUAUGUAUAUCCACAUGCAGUCAAUUACUCUUGUGUAUGUUCUAUACACUUCUACUUAUUAGUUUUGCUUACAUUCAAACAAGCUUAAACUUCACCUAGAUAUGAAAAACAGACAAAAUCAAGGAGACGUUCUUUCCCAAAAUAUAGUGUUUAUUUGAUUUUGGUGAACUUUGGAUACUGAUUUUCCAUGGCACUGAUCAGUGUCUUUAGCUAAGUGUUUAACAGCACCUAAGAACUAGAACUAAUAGAAUCAAUUGAUAGAAGCUCCAUCCCAGAUAUAUUAGUUCUGAGACAUGAAUCUGAAUACUCCUCAGGAAGUGUAUUGGCCCCAGUAGGAUCAGUGGAGUAAAGAUAGAUAGAGCUGAAUGUCAUCAAAAUAACAGUGAUGAAUUAACCUAUUCCAUUGGAAAAUUGAAGCCAAUGAUAGAUGGAUAAUAGGAACCAGUUUUGCAAGCAGGCAAUCUCUCAUGAAAGUAGAUUUUUCAGACAGGAUAAUAUAUAUAUUAUAUAGAUAUUAUUAGAUUAUUAUAGAUAUAUUAGAUAUAGAGGAUAAUUUUUAGGUAAUCUCAGGCCUAAUUUUCUUUUAUAUAUUCUCUGAACACUCAACUAAGAAAGACUUGCAGGAAUAAACCCAAAUAAGAAAAUAUACUGUGUUUGGUCAAAAUAUGUUGUUUUUAAAGGAUUAUGAACGUAUCAUUAACCAGAAAAUUAACUGAAAAAUUAAUGACAUUUUCACAUUUACAGCCCACCAUAAAGUAUGUGCUAAUCCUCAUGGGCUAGUUCAGAUGAAAAAUAUUUAUCCCCCUUUGCUAAAGAGGGUGCACUACCUAAAUUAUGUCUAUGAAUAUACAUUAGUAUGUGAAGAAGAUUUCAUUUCUUUCUUUUGACAGCACAACGUACUGGCAACUUUACUUAAAUGCUGUACUGCAUAUUAUCCCAAAAACCAGUUAUAAAAUCUCUCCGCAGUGGAUGAUAAAAUAAAUACAAAUUAAAAACUACUUCACACUUUGGAUGAAAGCAUAUCUGAGUAUAACAGUACUUUGAAUCCAUUUAUUAUUAUCAUUUUACAUAGAGUAUUAUUGAGUUUCAUACAUAAAAAUAAUAAAUUUUUUCAAUGCAUCUUUAUACUUAUCAGAAAAUAAGAAUACUAAAACAUCAUUCAUUAUACAAGUAUAGAUUAUUUUAGUAUAAUGAGAAGAUUUCUGGUUUUUAUAGCAAUAUUUUGGUCAGAUUCCUGGUCUUCCUUUUCCUGAAAUUAGCUUCUGUUACCUUAGGGCAACUUUUACUUACUUACUUACUUAUCUAUUUAUUCAUUUAUUUAUUUAUUUUAAACUUAAGUCUUUCCUCUUUUAAAGUAAGAUUCUGAAGUGCGAAAACCAAACCCUAUAGCCUGUAAGGAUAUAGAGCAGGUAUGUUUUUAUGAGCAAUGCACAUAUGCCCCGGUGCAAGGGGAGUAGCUCCUCCUAACUUACACACCGCCAGGAAAGCGUGCUACAGAUAUAGGCUGAGCUAAUGCAUAACAGUUGACAGGAAUUCGGAUACAUAUUCAUUACAUUCCCAAGAGCCCAUUAGUAUGCAGCCCCUCCCCCCUUGCACAUGCAUGGUAAGUCGUGAGGGUUCGUAGUCUUCCUUGCUGCAAACUUCUGACCCUGAAGGGGGGGCAUCCCCCAAACCAAUUGCAGCUUGCCCUGUGGACAUUUUAUCACCUCCCUGCCAGAUGUCCUCAGGCUGUUCUCAAGUCCUUAUCUUUAUGGCUUUCAUCCCCCUUGUUAUUCCAGACCCAGUGUCUGUGAAAGUGCUUGCAAUCCCUUAUUUUCUAACACUCUCUACAUAAGCUAUCUCUAUUUGCCCCUGCCUCAGUUUCUGUGAAGCUCCUUUCCCUUUCUUUACUGUGAGGCCCUUCUCUCUUUUACUGCAGUGUCUGUUCUCAUUCUUCAAUUCUUUAUUUACCUAUUUGGCAAACCUAGAUAAAUGUGGAAAUCAAAAUUAAAUAUAAUGAGCGUCCUAUUACUUAUGGAUAAAAUCUAAGUAUGUGAAGAGUUUCUUCACCUUUGAAGUCAUGUUUAACUAGUCACUGUCUAUUCUAAAGUGUAUGUGCAUGGUGUAUUCCAGCUUAGAUUUCUUCUGCCAAAGAUGUUCAAUCAAUAUGAAUAUGUUCAUGAAUAUUUCAUGAAUAGCCAUUGUUACGCAUUAAGAAAUAGGUGUUGAUUAAAAAAUACAAGUGGACAUUUCUAGAACCAGAACUUCAGUCUGGAAAUACUGUUUAUUGGACUUGUUAUUAUUUGGGUGGCUGUGGGUUUUUUCUUGUGUGUGCUGGGGGGGUGAGGGAGGGGGAAGAGCAGUGGGGAGAGUGACAAAUGUAACAUGUUCCUGUUCCUUUAGUUUAGUUUAAUUUACUUCUUUUGCUUCUGAAGCUUAAUUACGAAAACAAAAGUAAGGUAACUGUAUUCACAUGAGUAACUCAACUGCUUUACUAUCUUUAAUAGUCUGAGAACUCCUGUAAACUCUUCUCAGAAGGGUUUGAUCAUGGGAACACCAUGAAAAUACAAAUUCAGACUUGCUAAAACAAUCUGUGAAGAAGUGACUUUAAUUUUGCUGUUGUUUUUGCUGUUGUUGUUGUUUUCCUGUUAAGAUUACAGCUAGGAAGUUACUGAACUGCUCUUGUCACUCUAAAAGGGAUAGAGUUAUGUGAUGCACCCAUCUGGAAAAGAAAGAUGAUUAACUGAACUGCAAAAAGUGGAUCAGAUCUGGAACUAGAAGCUGAAAACAUCCAGUUUUCAUUUUAAUUUUAGUAUAUAUAGUAUGGUCCAAAUUCUUGUAACUGUGCUGUUCUCAGUGAAUUUUUGAUGGAAUACAUUGAUGGAAUUCAGGAUUAAUUGCACUCUAAGCAAAAUAAUGAAGAAUUAGCUCAAGAAAAAUGUGAAAGCUACUUUGUAAGUAAUGCCUCCUAUUUUAUUAUGCUGCAUCAUGAUGUCAGAAGUGAAUGUUGAUUUUAUGGCAGUAGAAGAUAGAACCUUCCUGUCAAUACCCCAUUACACUUUGUUUCCAUACAACAGAUGGCAGCAGAGGGGCAGUCUGACAAAAUGGAGUCUGACAUGGAAAUGCGUAUGAAGCAAAUGUGUGAAACUGAAUUUCUUCCAUGUGGAAAAAAAUGGCACUCACUGAUAUUCAUCAAAACUUGCUGAAUGCUGUCUCGCUCCAAUUUAUAGGAGGGAGAGGAGGUUCUUUGAAAUAUGCAGCAGACAUGAGCACAGUGAAGGGGUGGGUGGUGCAUUUCAGCAGUGGUGGUAGCAAAAGUGGCCACUUCCAAUGGUGCAGAUUUUCAUGAGCACUACAUGCAGGCUCUCAUUCAUUGCUAGCAAAAACACACAGCUAAUGCUUGUGACUGUGUUAAAAAACAGUGUUUUGUAGUGUAGAAUUUUCCCUAUGAAAUAGUGUUAUUGUAUUCUUUGUGCUUGCUGUAAUUUCCAUGGAAAUAAAUAAACCACGUUACUUUCCGAACAACCUAUAUACUUCUCUUUAUAAUGGUUGGUGAUCUGUUUUUCUGCUGUGUUGAGGCUAGUAGAAACAGACAGAUUAUAUGUUCAUUGCCUGGAGGAUGAGCAAUUCUCUCAUGUCAUUCAACUGUGACCUUUCUGGUUGAAGGAUAAUAGAAGAUCUCCAAAACUUUUCAAAUAAAAAAUGGCUGGAAAAUCUUCGGAAUUUAUAAUAUGUUACCAUUCUUGUUUUCUCUUUUAUUCUUCUACAUGGCUUAUACUGCAAGGGGCAUUAUGUUAUUAACACUAAAGUUGUUUUCUUAGCAUUAAAAAAAAAAGGGGGGGGGGGGAGGAAUGAAUUUCUAAAAGAAUUGUGAUGUAAUUAAGAUUAGACUGACUUUUCACCUAUAGCAACUCACUAUUGUUGAUGUUUGCAUGCUCUGAAUGGAAUAACGACAACAACACACAUUAAAGAAUCAACAUUUAAGAAGCCAUGCCUUUUAAGAAGCUAUGCCAUCAAAAGCCAUGUCAUUUAGUUUUCUGUAUCUGAAAUAAGGAAGGUAUAAGAUAAACUCUUAGGUUGAACACUUUGAUAGUGUCAAGUAAUGUAUGAAGGAAUAUUUUUAAAGAAGUCACAGUUCAAGUAAAGAUGGAUGCUUAAACAACUUCUAUUGUUUAAAGAUGUACUUUUACUUCUAUGCUUUAGUUCACUAGAUGGAUUUGACAACUAUUUUGUAAAUUUCAGCUUCUCAUUUGCUUAUUUUUUUCUCCCUGUUUAUAUGGACUAUUUCACAAAUAGUUGAAUUAACAUCAUGAUGAAGAAAUACAUUCUGACUCAGGACCAGAGGGAAUUGUUUUGGAUCUUGUAGUAAUUUUUAAUAACAAAAUUCCUAAAUCAAAAUAUUUCUAUGUAUUCCUAAAUCAAAAUGACUUUAUUUUGUUAUUGUAGGAUUAUCCACAUAUAAAUUUAUUAUGAGUGAGCAUCAUUCAAUUAAAAUAACGUAUAAAACCACAAGCCGAUAUAUGCAUGAGGAUAAACAUAAUUUACAUUGCUUUAUUUGGCAUACAUACUACUUUAAAAAGUAAAUAUUAUAUAUAAUUCAUUAUAUUCAAGUAAUGCAUUGAUUUAAAGAACUAUUCAUUACUAUAAAUAAAGCUUAGAAUAAUUAUUCCUUAAUUCAAAAACUAGUAGAUCAUUUUACUAAGUGUUUAUUCAUGACAGUAGAGAGUGUGUUUUUUUCUUUCUAGAAUAUCUAAGACUAGAUUUAUAUAGUCAGGAUAGGCAUUAUAACCAAAUUUGCCUAAAGAUAUAUAAAAUCUGAAAGUUACAGGUGGGUAGAGUGAGAGACACACAUAUGGUUACAUACCCCAUGUUUCUCUUUCAGAUUCAGCCUGUGAAAAGAGUGGUAGAUGACUGAAAUUACAUUGAAAAAGGAAAUUAAUAUGGACAAGAAGUCAGGAAUUAUUAUUGUCUAAAUAAUCCUGUUACUUGAAGAGUUAAAUUUAUAGCAGCAUUUUUUAGGUCAGUGUGAAUACAAAAUCUAGCCCCAGAUACCAAAUAUAUAAGGCUAGCAAAUCUAUGAACAAAUGGGACCUAAAGGGGGCCUAUAAACAGGUGACCAUCUUUUUACAUGAGUAGAUAGUGGUAGGUCAAAGAGGAAUGGUUUUAAAAUGAAAGAAGAGAGAUUUAGAAUAGUUGCUAGGUGGAGAUGUUUUAUUCAGAGGGACAAAAAAUUCCACACAAAUGACAUUGUAGGACAAAAUUAAGAAAAGAGUAACAUGGAAAAAAUGUACAUGUCAGGUGAGUCACCUCAAAACCCCUAAAUUCUUUAAUGCUUCAAUUUUGUAUGGCUGGGGAGAAUGAGUAACAUUAAAUUAACAUUAAUUUUACCAAUUCUUUAUUUUAUAAAAAUAAUAAUUUGCAGUAAAAACUGCCAUUGAGACCUAAUAAUCAGACUUCAUUCACUACUAUACAGAGCUCUUUUCUUUGAAAGGAGUUCAGAUUUUUUCAGUAAUGACCUCUAUUAGCACCCAUAUAGACAGGAAGAGCAAGCAAGUGCUCAUAUCCUAGCCAACACCUUUUUGAAAGAGAUUGAAUAGAGUGCUUUAAAUUCAAAUUGUAUGUUUCCAAAUAUGUAUGAAAGAAAAUCAACCUGUCCAAAAAAUGAAUGAAAAUAAUGUGCAGGAGUAUGACAGAACGUUGAAACUUUUCCUGAUGUCCUGUUCACGGUAUUUUCAUGUCACUUGUGUAAAUUAUCAGAAAUUUACGCAUCAGUUUGGAACCUUACUUUAUCUCAUCUUUUUCAACAGAUUCUUUCAGUACAACCUCCUAUAUAUAAGCUACAUGAAUAAUCAGAGAUUCUGCUGUCUAAUUACCACAUAUGAUCUUGGGGAUCCUUUCAACAGUUCAAAUGCUCUCACUUCUAGAAAGCUGUAAUGCUUGAAUAUGAAAGAUUCCCAUAUCAUUGUCAUGGUCACAAAGUUAAAGUCUAGGUUGAAGGCUCUGGAAAAUGACUGUGGAAUAAUCCUUGACAGUUAAAACCUUCAUAUGCAUUUUUGGUAUAACUUAGUAUUAUCUUAGCCCAAAACAGGAUAGCAGAUAAAAACUUCUGGUCAGAUCAGAGCACUGAUUCCCUUGUAUUUGUAGUCAAGACUGUGUUUCAAACUCAAGCAAAAAUGUAGGGUGAAUCCUAACAAAGACCAACUUAACAAAAUUUUGGGUUUAUUUGUUUAUUUUUUGUAAGUAAGAAUAAAUUUUCCAGAUUCAGUGUAUAGAUUAAACUUUUUGCACAGCCUUUGCUUCUUUUCACAUACCACAAUUUGCUGGAACCAAUACUGCAUGAGAUAAUUCAUUGGAGAUAGAUGAUGCAAAUUCACCAGCUCAGCAUAUCCCUAUUGAAGACAUUGCACUAUUAGAUGUACACAAUAUGUUUAUUCUUCUUUCUCAGCAAUUAGCCUUACUGAUACAGUCAGUGUUUCAUCUCAGCAUGAAAUAACAUUAGAUAACAUUGCAUUCUGAGGAAGUUGAAAAAACAGGGCUCCGCAAGUGAGAAUGAAUUAGAAAUGCUCUUGCAGUAGAGGCCCUAGAGUUACAAACAAGAAGCUGAUGAACGUAUUUAGCAAGGGACUUUAAGUAAAAUCUCUCCUCUGCUGAAAAUUUCUUAUUCUUUAGAAUAUUCUGCUUCUGAAAGGCAUUUUUUGACAAGUGCCAAAAAUAAUUUCUAUACAUUGUUAGUACUUUCCCAAUCAGUCUUUUUUUGUUGUUGUUCUUGUUUGUUGUUUUAUUUUUAACAAAAUGCAUGUGGCCAGAGGACAUGUUAUUACUAUUGAUAUUCUGAAAAUGAGCAUGAUUGUCUGUGCAAUCUAAAUUUCUUUUGCAGAAAUACAUACAAUGGAAAGGUAAAUAAAGUGAUUAAGUCUUAAAGAAAAACAGACCUGAGGGAUUAUAUUAUUCUUACCUAACUUGGAACACUUAGUAAGGCAAUAUCUCAGCUAUCUUAUCAGAAC